rnacentral:rRNA from 1 species
UUGGAAUGAUGGGAAUUUAAACCUCUUCCAGAGUAUCAAUUGGAGGGCAAGUCUGGUGCCAGCAGCCGCGGUAAUUCCAGCUCCAAUAGCGUAUAUUAAAAUUGUUGCAGUUAAAAAGCUCGUAGUUGAAUUUCUGCUGCAUUGCUUGUGUCCCUCUGGGGUCUGUGCAUGUGGCUUUUUUCGGACGGAGUUUCUUUGUCUGAAUGUUUACUUUGAGAAAAUUAGAGUGCUCAAAGCAGGCUUUCGCCUUGAAUAGUUUAGCAUGGAAUAAUAAAGUAGGACUUUGGUUCUAUUUUGUUGGUUUUAGGUACCAAAGUAAUGGUUAAUAGGAACAGUUGGGGGCAUUCGUAUUUAACUGUCAAAGGUGAAAUUCUAAG